UUGAUCCGACCUCAGAUCAGACGUGGCGACCCGCCAAUUUAAGCAUAUUACUAAGCGGAGGAAAAGAAACUAACCGGAUUCCCUCAGUAACGGCGAGUGAAGAGGGAAGAGCCCAGCGCCGAAUCCCCGCCCGGGCGACGGGCGCAGGGAAAUGUGGCGUACGGAAGUCCGUCUCCCCGGCGCCGCCAGGGGGCCCAAGUCCUUGUGAUCGAGGCUCAGCCCGCGGACGGUGUGAGGCCGGUGGCGGCCCCCGGCGCGUCGGAUCAGGUCUUCCCGGAGUCGGGUUGUUUGUGAAUGCAGCCCAAAGCGGGUGGUAAACUCCAUCUAAGGCUAAACACCGGCACGAGACCGAUAGCGGACAAGUACCG
rnacentral:rRNA from 1 species